GGCCGCGUGGCCAAAUGGUUAUGGCGUCAGAUUUCGGUCCGUACAUUCUCUGAAGAUUCCAGGUUCGACUCCUGGCGUGGUCG
rnacentral:tRNA from 1 species